rnacentral:tRNA from 1 species
GGGCAGGUAGCAAAGUGGUCAACUGCAACAGACUGUAAAUCUGUCGGCUCAUGCCUUCGGAGGUUCAAAUCCCCCCCUGCCCACGA